rnacentral:rRNA from 1 species
UACGUAGGGGGCUAGCGUUGUCCGGAUUUAUUGGGCGUAAAGAGCGUGUAGGCGGCCAGGUAGGUCGGUUGUGAAAACUGGAGGCUCAACCUUCAGAGGUCGACCGAAACCAUCUGGCUAGAGUCCGGGAGAGGAGAGUGGAAUUCCUGGUGUAGCGGUGAAAUGCGCAGAUAUCAGGAAGAACACCCGUGGCGAAAGCGGCUCUCUGGAACGGUACUGACGCUGAGACGCGAAAGCGUGGGGAGCGAACAGG